rnacentral:lncRNA from 1 species
AAAACUAUAAACACAAAAUUAAAAAAAAAUGUGUCUUCUCUUUGCAGUGUCCUUUCUGUGUUUAGAAUGAUGGAGUUUGUAUUAGAUUCUAAUGGGUUGACAGUGGGUGUGAAGACAGGAGGGGCUUUAAGAUGGGUAUAUUAGAAACUUCAUUCUAGUGUUCUUAGCCCACCAGUGUAAAUACAUGUUUGAUAGCUUCCAGGACCCAAAUUUCAUGGGAGAAGAGCAGGGUUUCCAGGGCACUGAACUGGCAUCCGCAUCUCUAGCCAGGAGCAUGAGUCAGCUCAAAGCAGUGGGCAUUGCAGCCAAGAAUGCAGAACAAACAAGCUCCUUGGGUCUUGUCUUUUUCUCUGCUUCAGAUUUGCAGGUAUAGUAUAGCAGUAUAUUUUUUUUCAACUGAAAAAGACUGGAAUUUGGCAGGCAAAAUCUAUAGAGAUUGAUGGCCCUUUUAAGCCGGGAACCUAAUUAAUUGGCGAAGAUGAUGAAUGCGACUGAGAGUUCUGCUCUGCUGCACCCGGGCUCUCCAUGCACGCCCAGAUCAGGUCAUCUUCAUCAAGGCAUCAACUCAUCUGCCAGUGAGAAGAUUGCCCCUGCACUGCUGAUUCACAAGGGUCUCAGUUCCAUGCACAGGAUCUAGUUACACCAUGUGACUCUCAAAAGACCAAAGAGCAUUUUGUUUGUCGUCAAGGGGUCUGGUUCAAGUCCAACUCUAUUAAAACAGAUUUGGAGACUUAUGUAACACUUGUGCUUCAGUUUUCUUGCCUGUAGAAAUGGGAGCCACUAAGCUCUCCCCCACUCUGCCGUCUAGGAUCCUGAGUCUAGGCAAUUCACCGUAUCGGAAGUAGGGUAUCUGGACACAGGGAAACAUCUACAUGCCCAACUGUAUCCUUCAGGCCUGAUAAGCAGAAGGGGGAUGGGGUCUGGUUAUCCCCAUAUACGUGACUGGAGCACACUGACACAGAGUAUCUCUGCCCUGCAGGCAUCUCUAAGCUAUGUUAUCAACUUCAUAGAUGCACAUCUACCUAUUGCUCCUCAGCAGAGCCAGUGCUGUGACCAUCCCCAGCGGGUGACUGCACACGUAUGGAUCUGUUCUGGUGGAAGAGUGAUCACUAUUAAAUGAAAGCUUUAAUUUCCAUAUCAUGAAACAUCACUAUAGUGACUGCUUAUCUUGGUGUCUGUUUGACUGGAUCUUGGGUCACGUAGGAGUACUGCUCAGCGUGGGACUAUGAAGCAUUUCCUAGAAGCAUUGACAGAGGGGGAAAGGUAUGCCCAAGAACAGGCAGCAUCCUCUGUAGCAGCACAUAUAGAAAGAAGUUGAAGAAAACCAGUGUAGCUUUUUGCCUUUUCUCCUUUACUUCUUGCUAGUGUGUGCAUCCACCCUGCUAGUACCAUACUAUUGUCAUUCUUUGCUAACAUCAGAACCCAGGUUCUUCAGCCUUCUGGGAUGAACUUAUCAAAUGGCUCUUCAAAUCCUCUAGACCUUCAGCUCCAGAUUUGAACUGUGGAGACAUCCAACGUUAUGGGCUGAGCAGCUAUCGGUUUCUCAACCCCUCCAGCAUCUAGACAAACACCGUUGGAUAACCCAGGUCAUCUAGGCAGGAUUUGGUCUACCUAAACCAACCUUAUCUGAGUGCAAAAUAGGAAGGAAGAAGUGAACAAACACGGAACUGUCCUCAAAGGCCAUGCGUAGAACAUUGCCACUACUGAUGGCUAGUGUCCUGAAUCCAGGAACUACUCAGGCUGUUUCUUACAAAAGUAUCUUCAUCUCUCCCUCACCGUGGACACCAAGAGUCCUAGAUGACGGAUUCAUUGCCAGAGAUGCCACAUUGGAGGCAUCUUACAAACGAAAAGCAGUUGCACUUUAGCUUUUCUACGUCUGUGUUCAAAUCCAAAGAUAUCCUCAUAGGUUCACGUUUGGAAGUUAAUUGUACCACUGAGCAGCAGGCUCCAGUUAAAUUAAGAAAAUUCUUGGAGGACCGUUGGACUAUCAGAUCAUGUUUCCCAGCAGGUGGCGCUGUUCUGAGACGCUGUGUCGCUUUAGCAGGUGGGGGUCCAGGCUGGCGGAAGUAGGAAAGCAGAACUGGGACUUGGAAAGGGUUGUUCCUAGACCUACUUCCUCUUUCACACCUGGCUUCUUGGUCAGCCAAGAUGUAAACAGCCUCCACCACACACUCCAGCUGCCCUGAACUGGGUAGUCAUGAAUUCUUCAGGUUGGAGUGAACUCUAAAAGUACAAACUGAUACACAUCUUUAAUACUGUGGACUGUUUCUGUCCGGCAUGGUGGUCAUCGAACACUAACGUAUCUAGGUAUGGCUACAUUGCUGUCAAUUACAGGAAAUUAGCCAAGCUCUGUCUCUCUGUCAGAGGCCUAUAUGUUGUGUUAGUUGACAACAGGAAAGCACAGGAACAUCCAGACCGUCAACAAGCUGCCAUUCCUUGAUCCCAGGCUGCAUCAAUCUCUUUUACAUCUUUGCUGUCAAAUUUCAGAGAUGUAAAACUGUGGGAGUUUCUUCAUAGAGCUGAGAUUUAUUUCAUUUUCUUCAUUUUUAAGAUGGUCACAAGUUACCAAUUUUAAAGGAACCAAUGAAAGAAUAUGAAAAUAAAACCUAAUGCAUAAAAAAUACUGAGCCAGGUAGUGGUGGCGUGUGCCUUUAAUCCCACAUAACACUUGGGAGGCAGAGGCAGGCAGAUUUCUGAGUUUGAGGCCAGCCUGGUCUACAGAGUGAGUUCCAGGGCAGCCAUAGCUAUACAGAGAAACCCUGUCUUGAAAAACCAAAAAAUAAAAAAUAAAAAGGAGGAGGAGGAGGAGAAAAAGGAGAAGAAGGAGGAGGAGGAGGAGGAGGACGAGGAGGAGGAAAUACUGUUAGCAUAAGGUGUUGAGGGCCUACAGUGUGACAAUAAUACCUUAAUUCUACAUGUACACAACCAAAUGAAAACAGUAGUAAAGGUAAUGGUGAACAGCAUACACAGUAACUCUAGAGGACCUCAGUGUCAGAAACUAACUCCCCCUCAUUCAUAAGAGCAAACUGUCUCUUAAAAUAAAGAAACAACAACUAAUAAAGAGGAUUGUUCCAGAGUCCAGUUGCUGGUGAUGACUAAACACUGAUCAAGUAUUAAGUGUCUAUCAUCUAACUUAGACUAUUUUCUCACCGUCUAUGAUCUCUAAAAUCUAAUCAUUAAAGAUUGUCGAGUUUAGAUGAGUGACUCACAGGUACCAUCAAGUCAGAGGUACUCCAGUGUUCACCGAGUCACACUGUGCUGGAAACGGCUCCAGGCAUAGAAGAAGAUAUUUUCAAAAUAGAGCAGCCAGGACAUUAUAGCAGCAUCUAUAACCAAGAGAGGAAACAAAGUGUGAAGUAUCUCUAGAUUCUUCAAAGAUUCCUUUACAAAUUCAUUCACAAAAGGCUACAAAACAAUCCAUUAUUUCUUCCCUUUGUCUGGCAUUUUUCCUAUGUUCACAUGACUUCUCUGUAUGCAUUUCUAAUAUUUUUCUCCUUCCCAUGUACCAAGCUUAUAUUAACAUCUUAUACUAAUUU